GAUUACGGCCAUACCACAAUGACAAUCUCGUCUGAUCUCAGAAGCUAAGCAGAGUUGGGCUGGGUCAGUACUUGGAUGGGUGACCGCCUGGGAAUACCCGGUGCUGUAAGCA
ensembl:rRNA 5S_rRNA 5S ribosomal RNA